rnacentral:lncRNA from 1 species
UGACCAGUUCUGGGGCAGGGGGCACGCUCUAAUUACUGAUUGUGGAGUUUGGUAUCUAUAGCAACGGGCAGAAUUGACAACAGGAAGCUUCAUCCUCUGGGGCACCAUCCGAAGUUUAUAAAAUCAACUUGAGGCCAAGGCUAUAGUUAAUCAGGAGGGCUUUCAGAGCAGGAGUGCUCCGAGUCCACACUUAAGAGGCAAAGAAAUUAUUUAAUAAGACAAUCAGGGGCUUGAGAAGGCAGAGUUUAUUUAGCUUGGCUUUGCAGUGCCUCUUGUAGUAAUUUAUCCUAAUGGUACCAAUUCGCCCAUGAUUUGAUACAGCAGGAGACCCAGGGUAUCGGUUUAAUCAAACCUCCAUCGAUGCUGCCUGUUUCUUAACUAUCGUUGCUGUAUAUCAAUCAGUUUCUCUUGAUUCACUAAUCGGAUGGCACGGGGAUAUGAAUUGUCCUGGGAUUCAAGAAAUCAGGUUGACAUAAUUCUUUAUAAUGUGCCUGCUUUUAAACGGGAUUAUUUCACCCCACUCACAUUAUUUCAUGUUCCUAGACCUGACAGGUAAAGUGUCCAGAUUGCAAUUGGCUGUGGGUGAGAAAGAAAUAAUUCACUCCCCAGCUGCCCUCAUUUCCACUCCCGAAAACCUGGGGAGUUACGAAUGUAUCUGCAUUAUUUUUAUAAGCAGCUCGUAUUGAGUGCGACUAUGGAGAAGAUAUCAUGAGCGAGUUUUCACAAAUGCUGUACUCAUUUAAUUAGCAAUGCACCUCAGUAU